rfam:Gossypium hirsutum cultivar TM-1 unplaced genomic scaffold scaffold171.1, whole genome shotgun sequence
UAUUAAAAAUUUCAAUCAUUUAUAUAUUGUUAAAACUGACGCGGUUGAUGGUAUAACCAGACAGUGACACAUGGCAUGCCACGUGUAACUCAUGUUAACAUACAAAUACCAAUUUUUAACAACAGAAAUGGAUGGAAUUUUAACA